UUAACUUCUCUCUCUUAUCUCCUCACGCUCACAUACAUCUAUAUUCUCUCUCUGCGUUCCUUCUCUCUCUCUCUCUCAACUCUGUCGUCCUCUUUCUCUCUCCCUGUCUCCGGUGAGCGUCGCCGGCCUUCGCCGCCUCCGGCGCGGCGAGGUCGGCCUCUCCUCUCCCCCUUCCUUUCUUUCCAUUUCUCCUUUCCCUAUGUGUCAAUCCCCAAAUUAUAAAAUCAAAAUCCCCGCCGUCGUCUCUGUCACGCCGCCGCCUCUUCUGACUCCGGUAAGUCCCUGUCUCUCUCUCUACUUCUAUCUCUGCUUUCUCCCUCGAACUCCCUCUUUCUCUGCCCUUUCUCGAUCUCUCGCUCUCUCUCUCUGUCCAGGGCGCGGCGGCCGCCGCAAGCCACGACAGCGCUUGCAGCGCCGGUGCUCGCUGCCGCCUGCCCCGCUCCUCUCUCCCUCUAGCUCGUUCUGCCUUUGUCCCUUCUUCAUGCUGUCUGUCUCUAUCUCACUAUCUCUCACUCAAUCUCCCUCUUUCUUUCGACUGUCGGCAGCCACCGCGGCCGCCGUGGCGCGGGCAGCGCCGGCGGCCACCACCGCCAGCCAUGCCUCCGUUGUGAUGGCUUGCGGCUGCUGCUGCUACUGCUAAUCCCCCCUCUCCUUCUUCCUUCCCUCUUCUCUAUUUCCCAAUUCAAAAUCUCAUUCCAGCAAACUUCUAAUUAAUUUCUAUUUCAGUUUCAACAUCACAAACUAAUAAAUCUCAAAUUAUUUUCUGUUUCAGGAAUCGACCGGCGUCGUCGUUGCUUGAGACGUCUCCGGCGCAACAGUCCUUUAUCAGCUCAAGAUCCUAUUUUUAUGAUUGUUUUCCUUGUUGCUUACUGGAAAGCUAAAGUUUUGAUAGAAGAAAGUAUACUGUUGUUAGUUAUGCUAUACUUAACUUGUUUGUUGUAGUUAGGUCCAUCUUUCCUAUUGCUAAAAGCAUUCUGUACAUGUAUUGAACAAAGAAAAACUACCUUCUUUGUUGUGAACUGCUGCGGGGAUGUUUGUNGUUUUCCUUGUUGCUUACUGGAAAGCUAAAGUUUUGAUAGAAGAAAGUAUACUGUUGUUAGUUAUGCUAUACUUAACUUGUUUGUUGUAGUUAGGUCCAUCUUUCCUAUUGCUAAAAGCAUUCUGUACAUGUAUUGAACAAAAGAAAAACUACCUUCUUUGUUGUGAACUGCUGCGGGGAUGUUUGUAUUCUGAUGAAUAUUUGUUUGCUGUUGGGAAUUUGCAGAAUGGGGGAAAAUUGGUGUCACGCUCAACUCCUCUUUUCUUAUACUGUUUUAAGUCAGCAGAAUGGGAAGAAUGAGUCACGUAUGCUACGUGUUUUUUUAAGGAUCAGAUAUGAUCUAAUGAGUUUUAUAUAAUCAGUAAAUCUUAUAGAAAUUAACUGGUUUGGCAUUCCUACUAUCAUUAUCAACUAUUGACCCAAAACAGCUAUUGGGCUCAGUUAAAAACUGAAGCUAUUGGGCUCAGUUAAAAACUAGAUUCAUAUAUAUAGAUACUGGGCUUUGGUUUCCAAAUAAGAAUACUGGCCCAACAAUAACAUUAUUGUGCCUAUUCUAAAAUAAAACUCUUAGCCCAAUUAAAAGGUUUAUUGGGAUUCAUAAAAGAAAAUAACCUAGUUUACUUAAUCAAUUAACUCUACAUAUAGAAGCUGAAUUACUACAGUCCUCUAUUUGACGAUUAUCUAUAUUAGAAUCUAAUAUAGAAAUUUAAUUAUAUAAUCAACAAUAGUAUAAAUACGGUGGGGCUAUUACAUCCUCUCCCCCUUAAAGAAAUUUCGUCCUCGAAAUUUGACUAGAUCAGAAAAUAAUUCGAGAGUUCUUUUUCAUAUCGAAUUUAUGUACUCCUCCAGAAUGUGGAAUAUUAAGAAAAACGUUAUCGCCUACUUCAGAAAUUCAAUCAAAUCAACGAGUAUCUGCAAAAGUUUAUGUCGCUCUUCAGGUUCUUUGAGCAAUUGUCGAAUUUGUCGGAUAAGCGUAAUCAUUUCUUCAACUGCAUUAGGUCUUAACACUUUUCUUUCAACUACCUCAUCCUAACAGUGUGGGGACUUAAUGAGUGACAAGGUUUGUUCUCAACCCGUUCUUCGAUCUAGUACAAUAGUCUAUAUCAUAUCAUCCAAGAUCUAAAUAGUUCUCUUAGAUUGUCCAUCUGCUGUUUGUGGAUGAAAGGCUGUUUGAAAAUUUGGUCGAGUUCCUAAAAAUGAAAAAUCAUAUGAAAUAUGUGCUGAUAUAUCAAAAAGGGACAUGAAACUUUAGGCUGCAAGAACUGGAUUAUCCAACAAACAAGUUGGAACUAGCAGCAAUGAUAUUAUGGAACAAAGUGUGAAAUUUAGACAAAUUACAAAAGUUUAAAAUGCUUAUUCGAGCAAAAGAUCUAAAUAUAAGGCAAAAGAUAGCUCGAAUUAAUAAAAGAUUAUGAUUGUGAAUAAAUUAGCAUCCACGAAAAGCCAAUAAAGUGUGGAUGCUUUGAGUAGAAAAAUUUAAGUUAACUAAGGAUUUCUCCUUACCCAUGAAGAAAAAUUCUCAUCAAGGAUUUGAAAGUUUAAUUUACAAAUGGUUCUACCACAGCAAACCAUAGAAGCUGUAAUUCCAAUGUUAACAAUAAAUCAUGAUUUGAGAAUCAAAAUUCUUACAGUAACAAGAGAAGAUGAAAGAUAGAAAAAUUACGGGUAAGGAAUAGAAGGGAUUGAUAAUUAUCAAGAAGCUCGGGGUAAAGUUAUCUUGUUUGAGAAAAGAUUAUGUAUACUCAACAAAGAAUAGUUGAGAAAUGAAAUCAUAAGUGAAGCUCAUGUAUGCUAGAUACUGCAUACCCAAAAAUACUAAAAUGUAUCAAGAUCUCAAACAAAACUUUGGUGGGAAAAAAAAAUUGGAAAUGAGAUAUAGCUUUGGUUGUAGAAAAAUGUUUGGCUUGCCAACAAGUAAGGCACUACCUCGAAAAUCCUAUGAGAAGUUACAACCAUUAUCUAUGUCAAUCUUAUAAGGCGCAUAUCGAGAUACGUCACAAAACUCUCAAUCAUACUCAGCUACUUCCUUGCUUUAAAUUGCUAAAUUUCGUCUCCUUUUUACCGACGAUAGUUUCUGAAAACAAAUUCUUCAAAAAUACUUCUGUGAACUAACCCCAAAUAAGAUUCUCUAAUCGCUCGAGGAUAGAUAUCUUUUGCUUCGUCUCCCACUCAUAGUCAGUCGAUCCUUGUAGUUGAAAUAACAUACAAGAAGACACUCUUGAUCAUUGCAUCUAUGGAAGCGAAACUCGCGAAAUUCUACUAUAAACAAGGGAAUUUUGACUAUGAAAAACUCCCGAAAUUCUUCUUUCGAGUUGAUGGGGAGGAGUAGGUCUCUAAAUUAUUCGCAUGGCAGAUGGCAGAUUUCCAUUGCUUCUUUGAAACAUCGUGCCGAGUAAAUACACAAAAUUCUCAAAAUUGAGCUUUUAUCCCAUCAGUAAAGCAAUCACUGCUACUUAGCUAUAAAUCAACUAAGUUAUAAAACUAAUGCCCAAAAAUUAAACCAUCUAAGCAAUUAAAGCUCAACGGCCUAGUAAAUGACCACUUUGAUCAUUUCAUAUCAUGAGAAAAUUUGUCUCAACGAAUUCUCAUACAAAAGAUGAGAAUAUACGUUGCAAAAGCUCUUAGUACUAAUUGCGAUGUCCUAACUGCAUAACAUCACUACUAGUAUUAGGUUACAGUGCCACUGACAUAACUCGCUACUGUAUCCUCAAACUGUCUAUAUCUGCAUCCAUCCAAUGUAUAGAUAUACGUACACACCAUCAUCUAAAAGAUUUUCAUUGCUAUAUAACAAAUGAAAAUCCCCCACAUAUCAAGAUACAAGUAUUAAAAUAUGAACAACACUUUAUCCGUUUAAGAACUUCAUACUAGUAGAGGAUACUCAUAAAUAACACAUGUUGUCCAUACUCGCUCAUUUUAAAAUAUAUAAGUUUCCUUCAUACUAAUACUUGCAAAACUGCAACUCAUAUCUCAAACUUGUUUAAAAAUGUAACAUACUACUUUAAAACUCUGAAAAUCCGUACCUGGCUUGGCUAGGCUGGAUGAGAUGGAGCGCAGAGCUUUUACUAUAUUACACAUACUAGUCCAAAGAUUCAAAAUUAGACUAAAGGGAAUAUUUAGGCUCAGAGCAAAUGACCUGCUCUGAUACCACUUUGUCACAACCCGACCUAAGCUAGUGAAUAGUUAAGUCGGGAAAAAGUGUGACUGAAAACGAAGUAAGAAAAUGAAAAAGAAAAUAGAUUUCAAUAAAAAUCACUAACCUGCUUAAACAAUAAUUUACCAAAAUAUUUGGUAAUUAUAAACAAUCUUUUCUAAAGCUCAAAGCAGACAACUCACAAUACAUAACGACAAGUUGUCAAAUUUUCAAGUGACAUAAUUCUCAAAGCUAUUAGUUUGAAAUCUUUGCAACACAUCAAUAAAGUAAAACGCACUAAGCGUUGCAGCGGAAUAGCUUAAGUGGAUUACAUGUAUGAAGACAUGGAAUCCUGAGCCUAAUUUAGUACUUAUAUAUCAAAAGCUUUUGCUCUGCUCGCCUCCAUCUGCAUCACCAGCUUAACCUGCAUAUUUAGAAAACAUAUGCAGGGCUGAGUACUAAAAAGGUACUCAAUGGUCACAUGCCGAAAUAACUUGAAAGCUUGCUCUUAGAGCUAUAUAUUGAACUUGCCAUUUCACGCAUCACACAAGAGUUUUAUUUAAAUAACAUGUGCAUGCAAAAAUGUAAAACUUCUCUGUAAUCAUCAUAUGCGUCUGCAGACAUACUUCUUUGUACUCUACCAUAUCUGCAAUGAUAAUUGUGUGCCGAGAAGGUGGCCACCUUCUACGGUCACUGACCGGCCGAUACGCUAAACCGGCUCACGGUCCUAGGCCGGCCGAUAUGCUAGAUCGGCUCACGGUCCCUUGUGUACACUAAUCCUGUCUAACAUCUGGAUAGAACAGGAUCCGAAUUCGAUUAACUUCUGGUGCCAGAUAGGUAUCAUACAAGCUCAUAAAAGUUUUGGCAAGUCAAUAACUUUAAUAUAACAUUACUCAUGUAAACAUCAUUAAAUAAUGUGCACUUCACAUUUGAGUUUAGAAAGCCCACCUGAUCGUGGUCUGACGACACUAGAAAUUCUGAACUAUUGCUUUACCCUUCCUUGUAUCCGACCUUCAGUAUAAAAACUGACUAAUAAAUAAUGAGGAAAAUGAUAUGGACUGAUUUAGACAAUACUUAUGUUGGUUUUAAGGUGAUGGUUUUAUUGAAAAUUAUGGAAUGAAGACUAGUUGUUUGACAACUUAUCAACAAACCAACUUAGACUGAAACUGCAAUAACUAUAACUCUGGCGUUAAUCAAUUCUACUCACACUAAUUUAAAAAUAAAUACUAACGUAGAAUUAUUAUAAAUUCCCUCUUUCUUUUUAAAGAGCUUGAUUCUAAGAUGAUCUAAUAUAGGUUUAACUACUAACUAAAACAAUUAUGUAUUUAAUGCUUUAAUUAACUACUUCUAAGUAUAAAUAAAUAGUUAAUCUGAUUUACAUAAAUUAUUGGGCUCAUAUAAUAAUAAUGCAGUUUGUUUGAAUAAAUUAAAGGUCCAAUUAAAACAAAUCUGGGCCAUUUACAGAAUUAAUCCAAAGCCCAACAUAAUUUAAUUGAUCCAAUAAUUAGUAGCCCAAUUAACUAUUUUUAGACUAAAUAAAUUAAGAAUCCUAUAUUCUCCCCUUUAAUAAAAGGAAUAAAUUAACUUCUCUCUCUUAUCUCCUCACGCUCACAUACAUCUACAUUCUCUCUCUGCGUUCCUUCUCUCUCUCUCUCAACUCUGUCGUCCUCUUUCUCUCUCCCUGUCUCCGGUGAGCGUCGCCGGCCUUCGCCGCCUCCGGCGCGGCGAGGUCGGCCUCUCCUCUCCCCCUUCCUUUCUUUCCAUUUCUCCUUUCCCUAUGUGUCAAUCCCCAAAUUAUAAAAUCAAAAUCCCCGCCGUCGUCUCUGUCGCGCCGUCGCCUCUUCUGACUCCGGUAAGUCCCUGUCUCUCUCUCUACUUCUAUCUCUGCUUUCUCCCUCGAACUCCCUCUUUCUCUGCCCUUUCUCGAUCUCUCGCUCUCUCUCUCUGUCCAGGGCGCGGCGGCCGCCGCAAGCCACGACAGCGCUUGCAGCGCCGGUGCUCGCUGCCGCCUGCCCCGCUCCUCUCUCCCUCUAGCUCGUUCUGCCUUUGUCCCUUCUUCAUGCUGUCUGUCUCUAUCUCACUAUCUCUCACUCAAUCUCCCUCUUUCUUUCGACUGUCGGCAGCCACCGCGGCCGCCGUGGCGCGGGCAGCGCCGGCGGCCACCACCGCCAGCCAUGCCUCCGCUGUGAUGGCUUGCGGCUGCUGCUGCUACUGCUAAUCCCCCCUCUCCUUCUUCCUUCCCUCUUCUCUAUUUCCCAAUUCAAAAUCUCAUUCCAGCAAACUUCCAAUUUAAUUUCUAUUUCAGUUUUAACAUCACAAACUAAUAAAUCUCAAAUUAUUUUCUGUUUCAGGAAUCGACCGGCGUCGUCGUUGCUUGAGACGUCUCCGGCGCAACAGUCCUUUAUCAGCUCAAGAUCCUAUUUUUAUGAUUGUUUUCCUUGUUGCUUACUGGAAAGCUAAAGUUUUGAUAGAAGAAAGUAUACUGUUGUUAGUUAUGCUAUACUUAACUUGUUUGUUGUAGUUAGGUCCAUCUUUCCUAUUGCUAAAAGCAUUCUGUACAUGUAUUGAACAAAAGAAAACUAACCUUCUUGUUGUGAACUGCUGCGGGGAUGUUUGUAUUCUGAUGAAUAUUUGUUUGCUGUUGGGAAUUUGCAGAAUGGGGGAAAAAUGGUGUCACGCUCAACUCCUCUUUUCUUAUACUGUUUUAAGUCGGCAGAAUGGGAAGAAUGAGUCACGUAUGCUACGUGUUUUUUUAAGGAUCAGAUAUGCUCUAAUGAGUUUUAUAUAAUCAAUAAAUCUUAUAGAAAUUAACUGGUUUGGC
rnacentral:lncRNA from 1 species